rnacentral:rRNA from 1 species
GACGAACGCUGGCGGCGUGCUUAACACAUGCAAGUCGAACGGUGAAGCCUUCGGGUGGAUCAGUGGCGAACGGGUGAGUAACACGUGAGCAAUCUGCCCUUGACUCUGGGAUAACUUCGGGAAACCGGAGCUAAUACCGGAUAUGACAUCUGGCCGCAUGGUCUGGGUGUGGAAAGAUUUAUCGGUCAGGGAUGAGCUCGCGGCCUAUCAGCUUGUUGGNGGGU